GGCGGGUGCCCCUCCCCCAGCCUCGCUGCCACCUUGCAGUUUGAUCUCAGACUGCUGUGCUAGUAAUCAGCGAGAUUCCGUGGGCGUAGGAGCCUCCAAGCCAGGUGUGGGAUAUAAUCUCGUGGUUCGCCCUUUUUUGAGGGGUCUGAAAAGCGCAGUAUUUAGGGUGGGAGUGACCCGAUUUUCCAGGUGCCGUCUGUCACGCCUUUCUUUGACUUGGAAAGGGAACUCCCUGACCCCUUGCGCUUCCCAAGUGAGGCAAUGCCUCGCCCUGCUUGGGCUCGCGCAGGGUGCACGCACCCACUGGCCUGCGCCCACUGUCUGGCACUCCCUAGUGAGAUGAACCCGGUACCUCAGAUGGAAAUGCAGAAAUCACCGGUCUUUUGCAUCGCUCACGCUGGGAGCUGUAGACCGGAGCUUUUCCUGUUCGGCCAUCUUGGCUCCUCUAUCGGUGUUGUACUUCUUUAAAGGGAUUAUUGUGGAUUCCUGAGAAUUUUCUACAUAUGAAAUCAUGUCAUCUAUGAACAGAGAUGGGACUGUCUCGUUGGAGGAAAACAAGCUCAGGGCUCCCACUGAUUCCACAUUAUGUUGCAAGCUCCUACGAAGCUCCCACUCAAAAAGAAAAAAAAAACAAAACCUGAAAUCUGAAAUAGAAAUUAUCAGCCCGAGAAUGAGAUGUCCCUAAUGCAUAAAGAGUUCUGCUAAGGAAAUGAAGCAUGUUCUUCAAGCAAGAAAGAAACUCUUUUCUGGAUUACAGUUAUUCUGACAGCCACAGGCCUCACAGAACUAGCAUAGCCAAGAUUUACACUUCAAAGAAGCAACUAAGGAAGGUAAUGGAGGAAGGAAGAACAUCUCAAAGGACAGAUGUCAAUAUACUUGAAAGAAAUGCUGACAGAGAAGAACCAGGCUCAAUCAACAAACAUUAUCACCUCCAGAGGGACCUACCUGGUAAAACUCAGUGGGAUUUCAGAAUUCCUAUUGGCCACCCACUGCUCUUUGCCUCACAUUUCUUACUUUUCUGAAUGUGUGUACAUUGUGUUUAUCCGCUCCUAUUUCAGCAUUUUACACGUUGUGUGUGGAGGGCAAAUCACAUUUGUAUUUAGCUCAUAGACCACCAGAUGAAGAGAAGCAUCAUGUGCAAUCUUAUAUAAAUCAUUGGAUCCUGAAUUUCAAUCCUGAUUGUCAUUAAAUGUCUUUUGGAUAUCCUAGUAUCUCUGUUACAUUAUUUCCCACACAAAGGUAUAUAAAUUAAUGCAUCCAAGAGGGCAGACUGUGGUUAAUUGCCCUGUUGAUUUCAGCAUAUCACCCUUCCCUUUAUCCACACCCCAUGUCAUGUUAUUGGCUGUUCUUUCUAGUAAGAGGUUGAGUCUGUUUUCUCAUCUGUGGAAUUCGGGAGUACCAUUUGAUUUGUUUAGGAUAAUCAAUUAAGCAGAGUGAUGAUGUGUCUAUUCCAGUACUGGGGCUUAAGAUGUCUUGUGAGUUAUUAUUUGCCCUCCUGCACUUUUGCCACUGCCUGAGAAGGACAUUUAUGAACUAGCCUGCUGGACUCAGGAAAAGGAUGAAACAUGAACAAGAAGGAGGUACAAAGCUGAAUCAUCCCAAGGCUAGAUGUAACCAAAUUCCGCAUUCUAUCCACCCACAGAUGCUAAAGUGAUUCAGCCAUGCAUAUUAGAGCUGCA
rnacentral:lncRNA from 10 species